rnacentral:sRNA from 2 species
AUGUACCACGCGUCCACUGCGGUUACUGGGCGCCGUCCGCGCUCACCUGACAGCUGCUCGCGACGUGUUGUUAACC